CCUGGAUGACCAGGUGUUACUGGUUCUGCUGGUGAGACGAUGUGUUCACAGGAAACUUGAAGCAGAUGGAGAAGAUGACAUCAUCAGUAGCAUCACAUACAGUGUUGUGAAAGCAUCAAAUCAUCAACAACCUCCAGUCAAAGAAACCAGAGAGAGAGUGCUUCGUCCUUGACCUCCUGAAGGUAAAGGGCUCUAAGAGCCAAUCAGCAGCUCUGAAACAGGAAAUAUGUUACUGAGCUAUAAAUGUCAGAGCUCAGACGAGGCCCACACAUGUGUGUUAUCUGGUGUUGGUGAUCUGGUGACCGGGUGGAUCUGCAGGACAGACAGAUGAAGGAUGGAAACGUGUCUUUGGUUCUGAAGAAUGUGACGAUUAAUGACACUGGAAGAUACGAGUGUCAUGUCCAGACGAAAGAAACUCACUCAUGGGACCUCAUCACCAUCACCAACCUGACUGUUGUUGAUCCUCCAGGUCCGACAGGAGGACGCACAGUGGAAGGAGGGAAGACGGAUAAAAUAAAGGAAGACAGAGGGAAGGAGGAUGAACAUGUUGGAGUGGCAGUUUCUGCUGUGUUUCUUUGUGCUGCUGUGCUUCUUGUUGUCGGUGUUGUUAGGUUUUGGAUAAAAAGACGACUUCAAUCUAAGACUUACGAUGAUCCAGAGAUCACACAGCCUCUUACCUCUUCGCAGGAGGACAGUUACACAGAUGACCUGAAGAUAAGUUAACGUCCAGGUUAAUUUCAUUGAAAUUAACUUUAAAUUAAGGAGGGUUUUUUGUGUUGGUUUAAAAUAUCAACCUCAUGUGGCCUUUUCUUCUUUAACUGCAGCACAAUGUGAAAAAAACAAGUUUGUAUAACAAGCUUGUUUUAGGUGCUAUUAUUUAGUUUUAUAUAUUUGUAUUUUUUAUUUUUGUUACUUCAAAGUAAAUCCAGCUUAUCAACUUUACUGCUCACAGAGGGAUGCGAGCGCUGUAUGAAACUAAAAAUUCAUGUAGCUGAACUGUAGAUAUUUCUCUCUGACUCUGAACUAUGAACCUCGCCAGCUUCUUCUAUUCAACAAGUUCCUUAAUGUGUCUUCAUGUAUAUGUCUCAUCUUUACAUUUAUACCUUUGUAAUGUUGUUUUUUAUUAUCAGUGUUUUUGUAACGUACAGAGGUGAAAGGUUGAAAGGUUUUCUUUAAGUUCUUGCAGUUAUGAAAUUAUGAUCUUCGUGUGUUUUGUGAACAGACUUAUGAUUGGCUGUUUCAUGUGAUGAACCAGAAAUAAAUGAAACAAACAGAGCG